ACCCCUCACCCACUGACACCCUUCCCUUUCCUGAUACCCACCCCUACCACCAACCCUUUUCUCCUUCCCCAAAAACCCAGCCCCUUCCCUUCCCCCAAAACCCUAAAAUUCCCUCUCUCCCUUCUCAUAUCUGCAAAUACAAAACAACAAAACAACCCUCACACGAACUUUCUGCAAAUUCACAAAUUCUAAUUUCAAACUUAAUUAAAAAAAAUGAAGUGCAAAUCUAUCCAUGCGCUGCAGAACCUCGAAACGACGUGAUUCCUGGAGGCAAAGAAGAAGCUCCGAUGUCUAGUCCAUCGUUCAAGCUUGGUGUCAAGUCCAUCGUCGUCUAAAGUACUCUAGCCCACCAUCGCUGUCUCCUCCCAUUAAACCAACCACCGCUGACUCUACCGAUCCCUCAAUCUCCGUUUUACAACCGCAAAACCUAUCUCAUUAUUUUCUUUCUCCUUCUCUAUUUCUCCUGCAGCAAGAGUUCUGGCUUGCCUAGUUUUAAUUUUAAGUUUAAUUGGAGCAAAAAAUGGAGCUAUGAAUUCGAGGGAAUUGCAAAAAUAGGAUCUGCAAUUUGGUGAAUCUGAUCCAAUUCAUGUUUGGAGUGCGUGAUCGGAGAAAAUGGCAAGUCGAG
rnacentral:lncRNA from 1 species